GAAUCCUGCAGGCGUAUGUCUGUUAGGAGCUGUGGGGUUUAGGAGUGUCUCUGAGGCGAUUUUGCAUUGUCUGCGUUCUCUUGAGCGAGGCUUGACCCAUAGCGGGUGUAAGGCCUAUAUGACUUUGGCAUGUCGUCGCUAGGGCGCUCCUUGGAGUCGGGUUGUUUGAGAAUGCAGCCCAAAGUGGGUGGUAAACUCCAUCUAAGGCUAAAUACAAGCACGAGUCCGAUAGCAAACAAGUACCGUGAGGGAAAGUUGAAAAGCACUUUGAAGAGAGAGUUGGACAGUACGUGAAACCGUUUACAGGUAAACGGAAGGGACCGCAAUGUCGGCUGCGGGGAUUCAAUUCACUUCGUUGGUGCAGGGUAUCCGUAGCAUGUCCGUUUCUGGGCAGUGCGGUGUGCCUUAUAAGGCGCCUUCGAGUGGACGCAUUUUCUCGCAUGCUGAGCACCACAACGGUUUGCUUGACCAUCAGGGGUGCCCGGACAAGGUAGCCACUUGCUUCGCGGCUCGUGGAACUUAUAGGUCCGGUGAGUUACUGACUGGUUGAGUGAGCGAGGAGCUCGGGCCGCGUAUAUGUCGCCUUGGUCGCCUGACUUGCCGUCGAUAGGUGGGGACUGCGUGCAGUGCCCUGUCCGACUUUCGGUGUUGGGGGUCAGACCAGGGGGGUCGGCUUUACGUGUGCGCUUUUCAGGGUUCGUGGUGAUAUGUCGGCACCCCAUCCGACCCGUCUUGAAACACGGACCAAGAAGUCUAACAUGUGCGCAAGUCAAAGGGACGACCGAAUCCCCAGGGCGUAUUCAAUGAGAAAAGGUGUGAUCCGGGGUAAAACCUGGCGCAACACCGCCCCGUCUCGUGACCUUUGUGUCUGAGGCGGAGGUUGAGCGUACAUGUUAGGACCCGAAAGAUGGUGAACUAUGCC
rnacentral:rRNA from 1 species